AUUGAACGCUAGCGGCAGGCUUAAUACAUGCAUGUCGAGGGGCAGCACGGUUAGCAAUAACUGGUGGCGACCGGCGCACGGGUGCGUAACACGUAUACAAUCUACCUUAAACAGGGGAUAGCCUUUCGAAAGAGAGAUUAAUACCCCGUAAUAAAUUGAACGGCAUCGUUUGAUUUUGAAAGCUCCGGCGGUUUGAGAUGAGUAUGCGUCUGAUUAGCUAGUUGGUGAGGUAACGGCUCACCAAGGCGACGAUCAGUAGGGGAUCUGAGAGGACUAACCCCCACACUGGUACUGAGACACGGACCAGACUCCUACGGGAGGCAGCAGUAAGGAAUAUUGGUCAAUGGAGGCAACUCUGAACCAGCCAUGCCGCGUGCAGGAUGACGGCCCUAUGGGUUGUAAACUGCUUUUAUACAAGAGAAAACCCUGGUACGUGUACCAGGUUGAUAGUAUUGUAAGAAUAAGCAUCGGCUAACUUCGUGCCAGCAGCCGCGGUAAU
rnacentral:rRNA from 1 species